rfam:Myotis brandtii contig263063, whole genome shotgun sequence.
GGUGGUUCUCUGGUAACACAGUGGAAUUGGGCUCCCUCCUCUCUGGUUCUGGGGUGCGUCACCCAAGAACCACC